rnacentral:rRNA from 1 species
UACGUAGGGGGCAAGCGUUGUCCGGAAUCAUUGGGCGUAAAGCGCGCGUAGGCGGCCUCAUAAGUCCGUUGUGAAAGUCAAAGGCUCAACCUUUGAAAGCCGAUGGAUACUGUGAGGCUAGAGUCCGGAAGAGGCGAGUGGAAUUCCUGGUGUAGCGGUGGAAUGCGCAGAUAUCAGGAGGAACACCGAUGGCGAAGGCAGGUCUCUGGGCAUUAACUGACGCUGAGGAGCGAAAGCAUGGGGAGCGAACAGG